rnacentral:lncRNA from 1 species
GAUUUGGGUUUUAUGAUUUAGGAUUUAGUGUUUUAGUGUUUAGUGUUUUUGAUUUACGAUUUAGAAUUUAUCUAAGAGUUUAGGGUUUACCCAAAAAUUUAGGGUUUAUAGUUUACUCAAAGAUUUAUAGUUUAGGAUUUGGGUUUAGUGUUUUGCUAACGAUGUUAAAAAAUAUUUUUUCAAAAAAUUCUUUUUUUGUAAUUACUAUUAUUUUUAUUAUUUGUUUUAUUUUUUUAUUUAAAAACAUAAUAUAAAUUGAUAAUAUUUUAUUUUCUUUUCUGAAAAAUAUUG